rnacentral:rRNA from 1 species
GAUGAGCGCUGGCGGCGUGCCUAAUACAUGCAAGUCGAGCGAACGGACGAGAAGCUUGCUUUUCUGAUGUUAGCGGCGGACGGGUGAGUAACACGUGGAUAACCUACCUAUAAGACUGGGAUAACUUCGGGAAACCGGAGCUAAUACCGGAUAAUAUUUUGAACCGCAUGAUUCAAAAGUGAAAGACGGUCUUGCUGUCACUUAUAGAUGGAUCCGCGCUGCAUUAGCUAGUUGGUAAGGUAACGGCUUACCAAGGCAACGAUGCAUAGCCGACCUGAGAGGGUGAUCGGCCACACUGGAACUGAGACACGGUCCAGACUCCUACGGGAGGCAGCAGUAGGGAAUCUUCCGCAAUGGGCGAAAGCCUGACGGAGCAACGCCGCGUGAGUGAUGAAGGUCUUCGGAUCGUAAAACUCUGUUAUUAGGGAAGAACAUAUGUGUAAGUAACUGUGCACAUCUUGACGGUACCUAAUCAGAAAGCCACGGCUAACUACGUG